rnacentral:rRNA from 1 species
GAAACCGAGGGUAAUACCGCAUGUGUCCCGACUCACGCAAGAGUGUCGGGGGAAAGGCGGGGAUCCUUCGGGACCUGUCGCUUCUGGAUGGGCCCGCGUCCGAUUAGCUUGUUGGUGGGGUAAUGGCCUACCAAGGCAUCGAUCGGUAGCCGGCCUGAGAGGGUGAACGGCCACAUUGGGACUGAGACACGGCCCAGACUCCUACGGGAGGCAGCAGUGGGGAAUUUUGGGCAAUGGGGGAAACCCUGACCCAGCGACGCCGCGUGGGGGAUGAAGGCCUUCGGGUUGUAAACCCCUGUCAGGUGGGAAGAAGGCGGUGCCGGUUAAUACCCGGCUCCGUUUGACGGUACCGCCAAAGGAAGCCCCGGCUAACUCCGUGCCAGCAGCCGCGGUAAUACGGAGGGGGCGAGCGUUAUUCGGAUUUACUGGGCGUAAAGCGCACGUAGGCGGCUAGGUAUGUCAAAGGUGAAAGCCCUCGGCUCAACCGAGGAACUGCCUUUGAAACUGCUUGGCUUGAGUCCGGGAGAGGGGGGCGGAAUUCCCAGUGUAGCGGUGAAAUGCGUA